rnacentral:lncRNA from 1 species
UUUUUUCUCAGGAACUACAAUACAAGGAUUUCUGAAAUUUGGUUUCAGGAUUUAUAUAAGUCAGCUAUAACCGUGUGAUGCGUUUUCAGAUUCAUCACUCGACAACUUCCUGUUUACCGAACACUUGUAUGAUUUUACACAUGAUAACCAAGUAAAAAAUUUUCGUCACAUUUUUCUCAGGAACUACAAUACAAGGAUUUCUGAAAUUUGGUUUCAGGAUAUUUAUAAGUCAGCUAUACCGUGUGAUGCAUUUUCAGAUUCAUCACUCGACAACUUCCUGUUUACCGAACACUUGCAUAUUUUUACACUAUUAAUAUUAUCCACUUGCGGCGGGGGUAUCAUCAGUGAGCAGUAGCUCGCAGUUUCACUUGUUUUUUAUGAAUUGAG